GAUGAACGCUGACAGAAUGCUUAACACAUGCAAGUCUUUGGCGAAGCUGUGCUUGCCUAGCCUAGCCAAGGCGGACGGGUGAGUAACGCGUAAGGAACUUGCCCUGCAGUCAGGGAUAACAGACGGAAACGACUGAUAAGACCUGGUAAAGUCAGGCGGACUCAUGUCCAGCCUGAUGAAAAGAGAUGCUGCAGGAGAGCCUUGCGUCCUAUUAGCUUGUUGGUGGGGUAACGGCCCACCAAGGCGAUGAUAGGUAGCCGGCCUGAGAGGGUGGACGGCCACAAGGGGACUGAGAUACGGCCCUUACUCCUACGGGAGGCAGCAGUGGGGAAUAUUGGACAAGGGGGGCAACCCUGAUCCAGCAAUUCUGUGUGCACGAUGAAGGUUUUCGGAUUGUAAAGUGCUUUCAGCAGGGAAGAAAAAAAUGACGGUACCUGCAGAAGAAGCGACGGCUAAAUACGUG
rnacentral:rRNA from 1 species